CAUUAAUCAUAUUUUUGGAUGCAUGUAAGGGCCGUUUGGUUACAUGUAGUUACAACUGCACUGCAGUUAUAACUGCAUGUAAAUACAAAUUCAAUGUUUGGUUUGACGUAUUUAACUUCAAGUGUUGUAAUAGAAACUGCAAAAGGAGGUCCAACUAUAGCAGUUGAAACUACGCCUAAAUUGGCCGCAGUUUUCACUGCAGCAGUUGAAGAAAAUAACUUUAAACAAAAAAUAUGCUUAUCUCCUUAAUUACUUUUUAAAUAAAAAAUAUUUUUCUUUCUUGCAUUAGAGAUAAUCUCAUCAUUAUACAUAUAAAAUGAUAAACUUUUAAAAAUUAUUUCUCAACUGCAUGCAACUAAACAAAUUAUUUAUAAUCGCAACGCUUUCUACUACAUCCAACUAAAUAGAAUGCAUGUAAUUACAACUGCUAUAUUUUCAACUAUACUAUAUUUGUAAUUACAUCUAACCAAACGUGCCUAAGUGAGGAACCUUAAU
rnacentral:lncRNA from 1 species